UGGGGAAUAUUGCGCAAUGGGCGAAAGCCUGACGCAGCCACGCCGCGUGAGCGAUGAAGGCCUUCGGGUCGUAAAGCUCUGUGGGGAGAGACGAAGAAAGCCCGUGAAGAGCGGGCCUUGACGGUAUCUCCUUAGCAAGCACCGGCUAACUCCGUGCCAGCAGCCGCGGUAAUACGGAGGGUGCAAACGUUGCUCGGAAUCAUUGGGCGUAAAGCGCACGUAGGCGGCGAAGCAAGUUGGGUGUGAAAGCCCUGGGCUCAACCCAGGAAGUGCAUUCAAAACUGCUUCGCUUGAAUCUCGGAGGGGGUCAGAGAAUUCCCGGUGUAGAGGUGAAAUUCGUAGAUAUCGGGAGGAAUACCAGUGGCGAAGGCGCUGACCUGGACGAAGAUUGACGCUGAGGUGCGAAAGCGCGGGGAGCAAACGAGGAUCAGAUACCCUGGUAGUCCGCGCUGUAAACGAUGAGUGCUAGACGGU
rnacentral:rRNA from 1 species